rnacentral:misc_RNA from 1 species
GAGAGGCGGCUCCGGCGAGGAUGAUCAAGAAGGGCCUCUUCAAAUCCAAGCCCAAGACCCCGGCCGAGCUCGUGCGCCAGACGCGCGAGCUGCUCAUCUACCUCGAUCUCAAUGGCGGAUCUCGUGAUGCCAAGAGAGAGGAGAAAAUGGCAGAACUUAGUAAACUUAUUCGAGAGCUGAAAUCCAUACUUUAUGGUAAUAGUGAAUCAGAACCAGUGUCGGAAGCUUGUGCACAAUUGACUCAA